UGAGGAAUAUUGGGCAAUGCCCGAAAGGGUGACCCAGCAACGCCGCGUGAAGGAUGGAGGCCGUAAGGUUGUAAACUUCUUUUGUAUGGGACGAAAAAGCUUGUUGAUAGCAAGCAUUGACGGUACCUUAAGAAAAAGCCCCGGCUAACUACGUGCCAGCAGCCGCGGUAAUACGUAGGGGGCAAGCGUUGUCCGGAUUUACUGGGUGUAAAGGGCGCGUAGGCGGGUUUGUAAGUCAGCGGUGAAAUCCUAUAGCUUAACUAUAGAACUGCCGUUGAUACUGCAAGUCUUGAGUUUGGAAGAGAGUAGCGGAAUUCCAGGUGUAGUAGUGAAAUACGUAGAUAUCUGGAAGAACACCAGUGGCGAAGGCGGCUACUUGGUCCAUAACUGACGCUGAGGCGCGAAAGCGUGGGGAGCAAACA
rnacentral:rRNA from 1 species